GUUCUAACGUGGACCCGUGAUCCGGGUUGCGGACAGUGUCUGGUGGGUAGUUUGACUGGGGCGGUCUCCUCCUAAAGAGUAACGGAGGAGCACGAAGGUUGGCUAAUCCUGGUCGGACAUCAGGAGGUUAGUGCAAUGGCAUAAGCCAGCUUGACUGCGAGCGUGACGGCGCGAGCAGGUGCGAAAGCAGGUCAUAGUGAUCCGGUGGUUCUGAAUGGAAGGGCCAUCGCUCAACGGAUAAAAGGUACUCCGGGGAUAACAGGCUGAUACCGCCCAAGAGUUCAUAUCGACGGCGGUGUUUGGCACCUCGAUGUCGGCUCAUCACAUCCUGGGGCUGAAGUAGGUCCCAAGGGUAUGGCUGUUCGCCAUUUAAAGUGGUACGCGAGCUGGGUUUAGAACGUCGUGAGACAGUUCGGUCCCUAUCUGCCGUGGGCGCUGGAGAACUGAGGGGGGCUGCUCCUAGUACGAGAGGACCGGAGUGGACGCAUCACUGGUGUUCGGGUUGUCAUGCCAAUGGCACUGCCCGGUAGCUAAAUGCGGAAGAGAUAAGUGCUGAAA
rnacentral:rRNA from 1 species